rfam:Schistosoma rodhaini strain Burundi genome assembly, scaffold: SROB_scaffold0000250
ACCCAGCUGACGAGUUCCAAAUAGGAUGAGACGCGCGUCAAACUGGAU